CCUACGGGAGGCAGCAGUGGGGGAUAUUGCACAAUGGGGGGAACCCUGAUGCAGCGACGCCGCGUGGGUGAAGAAGCGCCUCGGCGCGUAAAGCCCUGUCAGCAGGGAAGAAAAUGACGGUACCUGAAGAAGAAGCCCCGGCUAACUACGUGCCAGGAGCCGCGGUAAUACGUAGGGGGCCAGCGUUAUCCGGAUUUACUGGGUGUAAAGGGGGCGCAGACGGCGAUGCAAGCCAGGAGGUAAAGCCCGGGGGCCAACCCCGGGAAUGCCCUUGGAACUGCGUGGCUGGAGUACAGGAGGGGCAGGCGGAAUACCUGGAGUAGCGGUGAAAUGCAUAGAUAUCAGGAGGAACACCGGUGGCGAAGGCGGCCUGCUAGACUGCAACUGACGUUGAGGCCCGAGAGCAUGGGGAGCAAACAGGAUUAGAUACCCCAGUAGUC
rnacentral:rRNA from 1 species